AUCAGCUGAGUGUGCGCGGAUCCACACUUCGAAAAACACAGUUCCGCAACUCCACAAAGCUCCUCAUCACCAGAAAAAUGUGUGUCGUCCAGCUGUGCCUUGAACAAUUCAACCGUAAAACACACUGAGGAUCUCAGUACAGAUCCAGCUACAGACUGUAGCUGCUGUUGUGAUACUUUUGAAGCUGUGAUCCGAUUGGUCGUUGCUGCAGUGGUGGGUGUGGCUGCUGUUGCUGUGCAUGGUUUAUGACAUCAGAUCAACAUGGGAACAACAUGGAAGAGACUAGACCUUCAUCAGACCCAUGGAGGUCUCAGACCCAGGGUCUGCUGGAGCUAAUAGCUGGGGUGAUCGCCUGUGUUGUCUUUAGAUGUUUUCAUUAAAUGGUCACUUCUGAGAAUGUGUGUAAGGUCAACACCUUUAAGGACUGGCCACUGAUAACUGUAAAAUACAAUGUAUGCCUGACAGCACCA